UUUUUAAUAUAUUUUUGCUCCACGCGAGAAAAAUGCGUACGUGCGCGGAAUAUAUUAAGCACGGUUCCUUAUUUCCGACUUCUCGUGCUGAUCAGUUUGAUAUAUCAUACGGUUUUUUUCGACAUCGUAUGCAAAAGUUAUAGCCGUUUUACUUUUUCAUAACACUUUUUUGCAAAACAUGUCAAAAUUUAUGUUUUUGAAUUUUCCUAACUAAUAGAUGUAGUAACAUAAAUACACCUCGAAGGAUUUUAAUUUUCGAAGUUUUUAUCAUUUUCUUUUCUUUUUUUCAAAACUAAAAUGGCGAUAGGGGGGGGCAGCAUAAUGAACGAAGGCGGGGGUAACAUGUCGGAUGCGAUCAUACCAGCGCUAAAGCACCGGAUCCCAUCAGAACUACGAGAGUAGUACUAGGAUGGGUGACCUCCUGGGAAGUCCUCGUGUUGCAUUCC
rnacentral:rRNA from 1 species